UGGAGAGAGUCUGUGCCUCA
rnacentral:snRNA from 1 species